UACGAAGGGGGCUAGCGUUGCUCGGAAUCACUGGGCGUAAAGCGCACGUAGGCGGACUCUUAAGUCGGUGGUGAAAUCCUGGAGCUCAACUCCAGAACUGCCUUCGAUACUGGGAGUCUCGAGUCCGGGAGAGGUGAGUGGAACUGCGAGUGUAGAGGUGAAAUUCGUAGAUAUUCGCAAGAACCCCAGUGGCGAAGGCGGCUCACUGGCCCGGUACUGACGCUGAGACGCGAAAGCGUGGGGAGCGAACAGG
rnacentral:rRNA from 1 species